rnacentral:rRNA from 1 species
AUUGAACGCUGGCGGCAGGCCUAACACAUGCAAGUCGAACGAGUGGCGGACGGGUGAGUAAUGUCUGGGAAACUGCCUGAUGGAGGGGGAUAACUACUGGAAACGGUAGCUAAUACCGCAUACCAUCAGAUGUGCCCAGAUGGGAUUAGCUUGUUGGUGGGGUAACGGCUCACCAAGGCGACGAUCCCUAGCUGGUCUGAGAGGAUGACCAGCACAACUGGAAUUGCACCGCGGUCGAGACUUCUACGGGAGGCAGCAGUGGGGAACAUUGCACCAUGGGCGCAAGCCUGAGGCAUCCCUGCCGCGUGUGCGCCGAACGCCUUCGGGUUGUAAAGUACUGCCAGCGGGGAGUCGUCACCCGAAGAAGAAGCACCGGCUAACUCCGUGCCAGCAGCCGCGGUAAUUC